GAUGAACGCUGGCGGCGUGCUUAACACAUGCAAGUCGAACGAUGAUCCCAGCUUGCUGGGGGAUUAGUGGCGAACGGGUGAGUAACACGUGAGUAACCUGCCCUUGACUCUGGGAUAAGCCUGGGAAACCGGGUCUAAUACCGGAUAUGACUCCUCAUCGCAUGGUGGGGGGUGGAAAGCUUUUUUGUGGUUUUGGAUGGACUCGCGGCCUAUCAGCUUGUUGGUGAGGUAAUGGCUCACCAAGGCGACGACGGGUAGCCGGCCUGAGAGGGUGACCGGCCACACUGGGACUGAGACACGGCCCAGACUCCGUACGGGAGGCAGCAGGUGGGGAAUAUUGCACAAUGGGCNCAAGCCUGAUGCAGCGACGCCGCGUGA
rnacentral:rRNA from 1 species